rnacentral:tRNA from 1 species
CAAGAAAUAGUUUAAAUAAAAUAUUAAUUUUGGGGAUUAAUGAUAGGAAAAUUUCUUUUUCUUGA